rnacentral:tRNA from 1 species
UCGGCGGGCAGGUGGGUCAGCACGUCCUCGACGUCGGCGUCGUCGAAGCGCUCCGGCAGUGCGUUGAGCACGGUCGCCGCGAGCUCGUUGUCC